CCUACGGGUGGCUGCAGUGAGGAAUAUUGAGCAAUGGGCGAAAGCCUGACUCAGCAACGCCGCGUGGAUGAUGAAGGCCUUCGGGUUGUAAAAUCCUUUUCUGGGGGACGAUAAUGACGGUACCUCAGGAAUAAGUCCCGGCUAACUACGUGCCAGCAGCCGCGGUAAAACGUAGGGGGCGAGCGUUAUCCGGAUUUAUUGGGCGUAAAGCGCGCGUAGGCGGCGCUGAAAGUUGGACGUGAAAGCUCCUGGCUUAACUGGGAGAGGUCGUUCAAUACUACAGGGCUAGAGGUUGGAAGAGGAGAGCGGAAUUCCCGGUGUAGUGGUGGAAUGCGUAGAUAUCGGGAGGAACACCAGUGGCGAAAGCGGCUCUCUGGUUCACACCUGACGCUGAGGUGCGAAAGCGUGGGGAGCGAACGGGAUUAGAUACCCCUGUAGUC
rnacentral:rRNA from 1 species